CUUGACCUGGUUUAGUGGCCGUGGAGCCCCCGACGAUUGCUGGGAAGCAGACAUAGAGCUGCUUUGGGAAUUACUGCGGACUGAGGGGUUGGGUCUGAGGCGGGCCUGGGAAGGCGGGGAAGGCCCGGGAAGGCGGGUGGACACGGACGCUCCGGAGGCACGCGGGCCGGGCUCGGUUAUCCCUCAGCCACAAUUCAAGCUUGGGAACCUUUCAACUCACGAAACUUCCGUUCCUGAUUUUUGAAAUGGGAAGACUACAAGGUCCCUGAGACUCCACUCGAAAAGGCUUUAGCACAGCUUGGCUCAUGGGAAAUUCUCCAUACAUGGGGUCAAAACAGAAGGAGAAGAGGUAGAAGAGGAAGAAGAAAUUUCGGGGAAAUGCAAGGAACGCUUUAUUAAGUUAUUGAAAGAGGAACUGUUCUGUUUUUGACCUUCCCAACUCUGUCUGCUCUGCCUAAUUCAGAGCCAAGGGAUGAAGGCCUCCAGACUGUGUGGGGGAAACCUUGCAACGUGACUCAGAUCCCAGUCGCCGGUAAAGGGACCAAUUGAAGCCUCCCCCAGGACCUGAGCAGAGAGUUGGCUCUGUGCUGUGCUCCUGAAAUAACACUCCUGGCCACUCGGAAGAGAGACGGUCCGCUAUCAGGAGCCACCCGUGUUCGGGUGUUGUCGUCCACUUCCUCAGUCGUCUACAAUCAGGAACUGCCCCCUGGACUGCGCUGCCUUAUCCGUGGUUGGUGUAAAUCUAGUAUCCUACAGCCUUUUCUGAUAACCAGACCACUCGUCAGUCCAUAGCUGUCUUUCUACCAGGCCCCUACAUUCGAAUGAAACGUCGAAACACUUCAUCUCUUCGUCAGAUUUCUUGGCAUAAUAUGACUGACUCUUGGGAUGUCGUCAGGAUCCGGCUGUUCAGCGUCAUGUGGACACAUCCCAAGAUCUUGUUAUUUCUGUGUUUCAUCACUUUGCAGGUAUUGUAACUCCUACGAGGUGGGGGAAGCCUUAUCCCAUGCGAGAGCCACGGUAGGAGGAUUCUACUUUGCAGGCAUCGAAAGGAUGUGAAGUCAGUUUUCCCCUUUUAUAGGCACCAAAGGAGUGUGAAUCAGAGAGAACUCUAGACAGGAUUCGAGCCAAGAGACCUGGUUAUUUGGAGUCAGCACUUCUUUUCCUCAGCUCUGUGGUGGGGGGUGAGUCACAGCCUCCAUCUUUCAGAGAAAAGGUGAUUCCAUGUGAUUCUUCCAAGUAGAUACGGCAGUAUGUGUAGACUGUCUCAGGAAAGUGGGGCUUGUACCAGUUUAGCAAUAAAUACUCCUCCUGGGUGCUGCAUUUUCUUUGGAAAAGAACUGAGCUGCAUGUGGGGUCAUGAUGGAGGGAGAUAUUAUCAUUCUCAUGAUGCGGCCUGAGAUGACUGAAUGGUGAAGUUGGCUGUGAGGGGCAAGUCCAUUCCUCCUCUUCAUAAGAGAGGGUCCUCUCUGACCACCGUGGCCCUUUGGUUGUCUGUGGAGGAGGUGACUGUCUCAGACCGAAGAGCAGAAUUGAGUGGGAGGAAUAUGGGAGGUGACAGACAUGGAGAACCUUUGUCGCGGGCGGUUGCAAGGAAGUCAGCAAGUGCCCUGGAGAAGGCUCCCACAAGCAGAUUGAAGAGCCACAUCCAUUGGAAAUAUAAUGGUAGUCACAUGCAUCACUGGGAAUUUUCUACUAGUCACCUUAAGGCAAAAAGAAGCAGGUGAAAUUAAUUUUAAUCGUGCAUUUAACCAACUAUCCAAAAUAUUAUCAUUAAACAUGCAAUUAAUAUAAAAAUUA